CUGUCAGAACUGCAGCUACAUCCCCUCCUUUACCCUGAGUAAUUCCAUCUACAGCAGACUCCUAACUUACGUCCCUUGGAAGUGUGGAAAGAAAUCGGACUUUGACUGCCUCUUGCAUCGGCCAGUAAUGCAAGAGUCAUUCAGUGCUCCCACAUAGCUGGUGACAUGGGGAACUCAGCAAACUGAUAGCACCAAAUAAUUCAGCACCGUGCUCUUACGUCAGCAAGAUCUACUCUAAGGCAAGCACAGGGAUAAAUGCACGACAUGCACGGAAUGGAAAACUUUAAUCCAGAUUACUGUAAAGAAGAAGGAAGAUACUUUUCUUGCAUAAGGAUUAUUAUCUUGCACCAGUUUGCAGAUCUUUUAAUAUCUAGAGACCAAAGCAAAGCCAGUGGUGGUGGAAGGAGUUGGAGGAGAGAGAAGUGACUAUGAAGACCCCAAGGCUGGCAAGGAAAGAAAGGAGGAGGUGUGCUGGAGCAGAUUCCCCUGCAUCAGCAGCUGUCCCCAUGCACCCUGUGGAGAGUAGUGGUGGAGCUGAGAACUGUUGGCAGUUCAUAGAGGACCCCACACCAGGGGCAGUGACAGUGCCUGGAGGGACUGUGAAUUUGUGUGAGGGUUGCGUUGCAGCAGAAGGUGCCUGGAUGCUGCUGCCACAGAGAAGUCCCAUGCUGGAGGAGUUUGUGAGAAGCAGUCGUAGUUGUUGGGAUGAACUCAUGCUGGAGAGGUUCAUUAAAGACUGUAUCCUGUGGGAGGGCUCCAUAUUGGAGCAGGGGAAGAAUGCGAGGAACCGUCCUCCUCUGAGAAGAAAGAAGUGGCAGAGACCAUCUGUGAGGGACUGACACUGCUGAGGAUGGAGGAGGCAGAGAUAUCAGGAGCAGGGAGCUGAGCCCAGGAAGAAGAGAUGGGAGAGGGGAAGGAAAUCUUAAAGUGCUGGUUGUAUUUUU